GACCACCACGGUGAUUUAUAAGCAACUCACUGUACUUUAGUACCGAACCAUCUGAGUUUCUAACUUAGUGAUGGAAGGAUACUAGGUGCAGUCAAGUACUUAUCAAGUCGGUGUGUGAGUCGAGAUAGAAUUGAUCCUCCUGAAUUAGUAAGAAAUAUGCAUCAGUGUAUUUUAAUUUAGCAAAAUCUUGAUCAAAAUAAUUCAUGAGA
rnacentral:lncRNA from 1 species